UCGAAGAUAGCUCAAUGGGAGAGCGCUUGAUUUUGGAUCAAGAGGUUGGCGGUUCGAUUCCGCCUCGAU
rnacentral:tRNA from 1 species